UAUGAAACAGAUCUUCAAAAUAUUCAGUCUCAGCGAAAGUACCUUAAUGAUGGAUUUCCACCAAAAGGAACCCACGGGUCUGUUUGUGGGGGGUUGUUGCUGUAGUAUGUCUCCCAAAUCAAAUGAACCCAAGGAAGAUUAUGUUUGUUCAGCAAUUUGUGAAGGUGUUUUAAGAACAAAGCUUUAUUGUGGGAAGGAGUUUUGAAGGAUUCUCGUGGAAGAAUUCAUUUGUGUCUUACAUUCAACACUCUUCAAAUUCCUACGCUGCACAUCUUCUAUGUCAUCAAAGCAAACGAAUGGUUGUCGUAGAAAUGCAAAGUACAUGAC
rnacentral:lncRNA from 1 species